rnacentral:rRNA from 1 species
UGCAAGUUCGCACGAAGAACGUUCUGGCUUUGCCAGGAUAAGUACAGUGGCGGACGGGUGCGUAACGCGUAGAUAACCUGCCCUCAGGCGCGGGACAAUCACGGGAAACCGUGGCUAAUACCGCACGUCGUCUGGAUCCCGCAUGGGAACCAGAUGAAAGCCUUCGGGCGCCUUUGGAUGGGUCUGCGUCGGAUUAGCUUGUUGGUGAGGUAACGGCUCACCAAGGUGACGAUCCGUAGCUGGUCUGAGAGGACGAUCAGUCACACUGGGACUGAGACACGGCCCAGACUCCUACGGGAGGCAGCAGUGGGGAAUCUUGCACAAUGGGGGAAACCCUGAUGCAGCCAUGCCGCGUGGAGGAAGACACCCCUAUGGGGCGUAAACUCCUUUUCUGAGAAAAGAAACCCCUGUAGGUUCAGGGUGUGACGGUAUCUCAGGAAUAAGCACCGGCUAACUCCGUGCCAGCAGCCGCGGUAAUACGGAGGGUGCAAGCGUUGUCCGGAAUCACUGGGCGUAAAGGGUGCGCAGGCGGGGCAGCAAGUCGGAGGUGAAAGCCCAUGGCUUAACCAUGGAAGUGCCUUCGAUACUGUUGCUCUUGAGUCCCGGAGAGGCUGUCGGAAUUCGUGGUGUAGCGGUGAAAUGCGUAGAUAUCACGAGGAACACCAGAGGCGAAAGCGGACAGCUGGACGGGUACUGACGCU